GCCCGCCUAGCUCAAUCGGAUAGAGCAUCAGACUCUUAUGUUAAGUAUAUGAGGGCAAGUGAAAUCUGAAGGCUGCGAGUUUGACCCUCGCGGUGGGCU